rnacentral:misc_RNA from 1 species
UUAAGUUCAGCGGGUAUUCCUACCUGAUCCGAGGUCAACCUGAAAAAAUAAUCUCCCCGUGAAGGGAGGUCGACCGGGGCCCCGUCUACCCUUGAUCCAGUACGUGUUCGGUGAGGAACUCAGUGUACCGGGGGUCUCACGAAGCCGCCGUCAUUGUCUUUGGGAGGGGUGACGUUGCCGACACCAAACCGUCCAACACC